CUUAUACCUUACUGUUGCCUCGGCGCAUGCCGGCCCCCCUGGGGGCCCCUCCUUCUGGAGGAGCAGGCACGCCGGCGGCCAACCUAACUCUUGUUUUUACACUGAAACUCUGAGAAUAAAACAUAAAUGAAUCAAAACUUUCAACAACGGAUCUCUUGGUUCUGGCAUCGAUGAAGAACGCAGCGAAAUGCGAUAAGUAAUGUGAAUUGCAGAAUUCAGUGAAUCAUCGAAUCUUUGAACGCACAUUGCGCCCUCUGGUAUUCCGGAGGGCAUGCCUGUUCGAGCGUCAUUUCAACCCUCAAGCCUGGCUUGGUGAUGGGGCACUGCUUUUACCCAAAAGCAGGCCCUGAAAUUCAGUGGCGAGCUCGCCAGGACCCCGAGCGCAGUAGUUAAACCCUCGCUUUGGAAGGCCCUGGCGGUGCCCUGCCGUUAAACCCCCAACUUCUGAAAAUUUGACCUCGGAUCAGGUAGGAAUACCCGCUGAACUUAAGCAUAUCAAUAAGCGGAGGAA
rnacentral:rRNA from 1 species